rnacentral:tRNA from 1 species
GCGCCGGUGGUGUAAGGCACCCGGAAAGCGGAAGAUGCGGGUUCAAGUCCCGCCUGGCGCA